CAGUCUAUUAUAGCUCUAUACUUCUCCAACAAGUCCAUUUCUAAUUUUACAUCAAAUCCUACAAAAUCAAAUAGUAUCAGGUUUAUACAUACCUCUAUCCCUAAAGUUUUUAUCCCAUAGUCCAUAUAUACACAUUGAGCCUUUAGUAGCCCUUUAGAGGGAGUUUCCACCACUAGUGUUUUUCCUAAAGGUUUUGGUCUAAACUCUAUAUUACAAGCAAAUGCACAGGAAAUGAAAAAGUGAGUUGUACUUGUAUCGAUCAAAGCCUUGACAUAAGUAUUAUGAAUAAAAAGCAUAUCCUGGAUGAGGACAAGAGCAAGAAGGGCACCAGAUUCAUCUAAGUGGUACAAUCGACCAGAUUAUUAAGUUCAAUAACCCAAAAGUGGGUGAUAAUGAUGUCAUUUUUAGGCACUAUCAAACUCCUCCAUAUUUAUCUUGUGCUUGCCCUUAAGCACUACACAAUACACUCCAUCAAUCCUCAUCUCUUCACCUUCAACUCACUUACUCCCAAGCAUUUCAUCACAACCUGAAUGUUACACCUCAACCCUCAAGUUACAAGAACAACCAUCAACUAUAAUUUGUAGGCUUGAGUUUUAUGGAACCACACAAAUGAAUAACCACUUUGACAACAUCCAAACAUGAGAUAAAAGAGUUUUACAAAAUUACCACACAAAAAUUUCAUUGAGUGGAAUUGCCAAUAUCUAGUAGAACAACCACCAAAUGUUUCUAG
rnacentral:lncRNA from 1 species